rnacentral:rRNA from 1 species
CCUACGGGCGGCAGCAGUGGGGGAUAUUGCACAAUGGGGGGAACCCUGCUGCAGCGACGCCGCGUGGGUGAAGAAGCGCCUCGGCGCGUAAAGCCCUGUCAGCAGGGAAGAAACUGACGGUAACUGAAGAAGAAGCCCCGGCUGAGUCCGUGCCAGCAUCCGCGGUAAUACGUAGGGGGCAAGCGUUAGCCGGAUGUACUGGGUGUAAGGGGGGCGCAGACGGCGAUGCAAGCCAGGAGUGAAAGCCCGGGGCCCAACCCCGGGCCUGCUCGUGGAACUGCGUGGCUGGAGUGCAGGAGGGGCAGGCGGAAUUCCUGGUGUAGCGGUGAAAUGCGUAGAUAUCAGGAGGAACACCGGUGGCGAAGGCGGCCUGCUGGACUGCAACUGACGUUGAGGCCCGAAAGCGUGGGGAGCAAACAGGAUUAGAUACCCGUGUAGUC